AACAGCAAAAGCAACAAGAAAAAAAAGAGACACUUGUUAAUGAUACUCAGCUUUUCCCAUCUGCCUGGGUAGGGAAAAGGAUCUUCUGCUCUGCAGCACAUUGGACACAUGAUCUGAGCAAAUAUCUGGACUUUGGGCUACCCCUGCCUCUUUGAACUCCUGGAAGCUAGACAUUGUCUCAUCAGGCAACUCAUCACCUUGCAGCUGCCACCACAGGGCCAGUGGAGCCUCAGUGAAACAGGGAGCAUACAGGGAAUGGAAAACCAGAGUCCCAGUGGAAAACUGAAGAAAAGCCCAACUCCCCUGUGCAACCCUCUGUAUGGUCCUCUGCCCUCCAGAGUCAUAGUCAGCCUGGAAUAAGCUUCUCUGGGGAAAUCAGAGGAGUCCUGCUAGAGUCAAGUGAUUAAGGCUGAGGAGACUACUUAAUCAUGCAGGGUUUUUCAUAACAGGCCAGUUCGGCUGGAUGCAUUGCCAGGGAAUUUAUCUGCUGGCCUGGCAACUUGGUACUUGCUCCUCAAGAUAGAGAUGCUCAUGUAUCUUGUGACUGAGACACACUGGGGCUCCAGGAAAAUGAUUGCUCAAUACUAGAAGUGACCAUUCCCAAACAAGUCACAGAGCGAUUGUAUAAUCUUCUGAGCGGUGUUGCAAAAGAUGGAUUUAUCUUGGCUGGCUAAACCUGACUCUUAUUAGACAGAAGACCAAAAGGAAAUGAUAGGAAAGAAAAAAGAUGAAGAAGGAAGAUGUCACCCAAGAGAUGGUGUGGCAACAAGCAGUUCUGUUUCACAUCCCAUGUGGAGUUCAGGUUUCAGCAGAACCAGAUGUAGGUGCUGAUGUCACUGAUUUCCUCUUUUUCAAGGUAUAUGUUAUAGCCCGAAGCAGGUGGCAACAGCCAUGACUGUAAACCUUGCUCUUCACCUGCAAGCUGUUCCAGCCACAGGUUCCUAAACAAGUUGUCAAGUGACCCCUAGAAAAGCAUCAUCCAGAAAGGGUGCAGCAACCUUUCCUCAUUAAAAUUACCCAGUUAAAACAUAUUUACAGUGAUUCCAACUAUAAACUGUUUUCCUCAUGUUUCCUUCUAUUUCUAGACUACUUCAGCUGGUUGUUAUGCCAACUUGAGACCUCCCCAAAAGUGUCAA